AAACUGAAGAGUUUGAUCAUGGCUCAGAUUGAACGCUGGCGGCAGGCUUAACACAUGCAAGUCGAACGAUGACUAACUAGCUUGCUAGUUAUGAUUAGUGGCGGACGGGUGAGUAACAUUUAGGAAUCUGCCUAGUAGUGGGGGAUAGCUCGGGGAAACUCGAAUUAAUACCGCAUACGACCUACGGGUGAAAGGGGGCGCAAGCUCUUGCUAUUAGAUGAGCCUAAAUCAGAUUAGCUAGUUGGUGGGGUAAAGGCCCACCAAGGCGACGAUCUGUAACUGGUCUGAGAGGAUGAUCAGUCACACCGGAACUGAGACACGGUCCGGACUCCUACGGGAGGCAGCAGUGGGGAAUAUUGGACAAUGGGGCAACCCUGAUCCAGCCAUGCCGCGUGUGUGAAGAAGGCCUUUUGGUUGUAAAGCACUUUAAGCAGGGAGGAGAGGCUAAUGGUUAAUACCCAUUAGAUUAGACGUUACCUGCAGAAUAAGCACCGGCUAACUCUGUGCCAGCAGCCGCGGUAAUACAGAGGGUGCGAGCGUUAAUCGGAAUUACUGGGCGUAAAGCGAGUGUAGGUGGCUCAUUAAGUCACAUGUGAAAUCCCCGGGCUUAACCUGGGAACUGCAUGUGAUACUGGUGGUGCUAGAAUAUGUGAGAGGGAAGUAGAAUUCCAGGUGUAGCGGUGAAAUGCGUAGAGAUCUGGAGGAAUACCGAUGGCGAAGGCAGCUUCCUGGCAUAAUAUUGACACUGAGAUUCGAAAGCGUGGGUAGCAAACAGGAUUAGAUACCCUGGUAGUCCACGCCGUAAACGAUGUCUACUAGCCGUUGGGGUCCUUGAGACUUUAGUGGCGCAGUUAACGCGAUAAGUAGACCGCCUGGGGAGUACGGCCGCAAGGUUAAAACUCAAAUGAAUUGACGGGGCCCGCACAAGCGGUGGAGCAUGUGGUUUAAUUCGAUGCAACGCGAAGAACCUUACCUGGUCUUGACAUAGUGAGAAUCCUGCAGAGAUGCGGGAGUGCCUUCGGGAAUUCACAUACAGGUGCUGCAUGGCUGUCGUCAGCUCGUGUCGUGAGAUGUUGGGUUAAGUCCCGCAACGAGCGCAACCCUUUUCCUUAUUUGCCAGCGGGUUAAGCCGGGAACUUUAAGGAUACUGCCAGUGACAAACUGGAGGAAGGCGGGGACGACGUCAAGUCAUCAUGGCCCUUACGACCAGGGCUACACACGUGCUACAAUGGUAGGUACAGAGGGUUGCUACACAGCGAUGUGAUGCUAAUCUCAAAAAGCCUAUCGUAGUCCGGAUUGGAGUCUGCAACUCGACUCCAUGAAGUCGGAAUCGCUAGUAAUCGCAGAUCAGAAUGCUGCGGUGAAUACGUUCCCGGGCCUUGUACACACCGCCCGUCACACCAUGGGAGUCUAUUGCACCAGAAGUAGGUAGCCUAACGUAAGAGGGCGCUUACCACGGUGUGGUCGAUGACUGGGGUGAAGUCGUAACAAGGUAGCCGUAGGGGAACCUGCGGCUGGAUCACCUCCUUA
rnacentral:rRNA from 1 species